UACAGAGGGGGCAAGCGUUAUUCGGAAUUAUUGGGCGUAAAGGGCGCGUAGGCGGCUUUGCAAGUGGCGGGUGAAAUCCCUCGGCUUAACCGAGGAACUGCCUGUCAAACUGCAUGGCUUGAGACCAGGAGAGGUGAGUGGAAUUCCCAGUGUAGCGGUGAAAUGCGUAGAUAUUGGGAGGAACACCAGUGGCGAAGGCGGCUCACUGGACUGGUACUGACGCUGAUGCGCGAAAGCUAGGGUAGCAAACGGG
rnacentral:rRNA from 1 species